rnacentral:rRNA from 1 species
AUUGAACGCUGGCGGCAGGCCUAACACAUGCAAGUCGAGCGGAUGAAGGGAGCUUGCUUCUGGAUUCAGCGGCGGACGGGUGAGUAAUGCCUAUGAAUCUGCCUGGUAGUGGGGGAUAACGUCCGGAAACGGGCGCUAAUACCGCAUACGUCCUGAGGGAGAAAGUGGGGGAUCUUCGGACCUCACGCUAUCAGAUGAGCCUAGGUCGGAUUAGCUAGUUGGUGGGGUAAAGGCCUACCAAGGCGACGAUCCGUAACUGGUCUGAGAGGAUGAUCAGUCACACUGGAACUGAGACACGGUCCAGACUCCUACGGGAGGCAGCAGUGGGGAAUAUUGGACAAUGGGCGGAAGCCUGAUCCAGCCAUGCCGCGUGUGUGAAGAAGGUCUUCGGAUUGUAAAGCACUUUAAGUUGGGAGGAAGGGCAGUAAGUUAAUACCUUGCUGUUUUGACGUUACCAACAGAAUAAGCACCGGCUAACUUCGUG